UAAACCUGAGGCAAGGGAGAAGGAGA
rnacentral:piRNA from 1 species